rnacentral:rRNA from 1 species
ACCUACGAGAUGAUGUGCUCGGACGUAGAGUACAGGUGCUGCAUGGCUGUCGUCAGCUCGUGUCCGUGAGAUGUUGGGUUAAGUCCCGNAACGAGCGCAACCCUUUUCCUUAUUUGCCAGCGGGUCAUGCCGGGAACUUUAAGGAUACUGCCAGUGACAAACUGGAGGAAGGCGGGGACGACGUCAAGUCAUCAUGGCCCUUACGGCCAGGGCUACACACGUGCUACAAUGGUCGGUACAAAGGGUUGCUACCUCGCGAGAGGAUGCUAAUCUCAAAAAGCCGAUCGUAGUCCGGAUCGCAGUCUGCAACUCGACUGCGUGAAGUCGGAAUCGCUAGUAAUCGCGGAUCAGAAUGCCGCGGUGAAUACGUUCCCGGGCCUUGUACACACCGCCCGUCACACCAUGGGAGUUUGUUGCACCAGAAGUAGGUAGUCUAACCGCAAGGAGGACGCUUACCACGGUGUGGCCGAUGACUGGGGUGAAGUCGUAACAAGGUAGGCGUAGAUGA